CAUUGUACGUUAUCUUCAUAUGUAUGUACAUUGUACAUGCAUAUGAACUUACAUAUAAUCGCGUUUAAGGAAAUUCGAAUUAUAGAGGUUUAUGGAAUAAAAAUUCAAAUUGUAGAGUGUGUCCCACCGUCAGACAUUUCGAAUUAUCGAGGGGACCGGAAUACAUGCAUUUUCUUCUAAUUAUAGAGGUUUUCUCAGGGGACUUAGCGUUUAGUUCGAUUUAUGGAGUUUUCGAGUUUAUGAAGGUUCGAAUUAACGAGCGACGACUGUACAUAUUGCAUGUUACAUUAUGUAAGACUAUAGAAAUGAGUUUAUUACUGGGGGUAAAACCUAUCGUACUUAAUAAUAAACAAUUUUACCGGUUUUUUCAAACGCGAGGUCCGAGGCCUACAAUAGGCACUGCUUAAUAAUAAAAUUAUCGUUUCAUAACAGCGUUCUGUACGCAACAUCGGCGGCGGUGACCAACUAUGACGAGGUUGCGGCGGGGAAACGGUCCGCCACCUGCUCGACGAGGUACGUUCUUAUUCCGCGGUGAAAAUGUACAACUACCAGGAACUUAUAUGAACAGGUGCGUGCCGAACGCGAGCAGACGGGGGCUUCGCGUUUUUAGCCGCCUCGGCCUCGACGCCCUAACCGUCGACCGCGCACGUCAUUAUCCGUAUACUUCCUUCCGAAUAAUAUUGUAUUAUUAUCGGAUAGUUCCUUACGAAUAAUUGUAUUGUUAUCGGAUAGUUCCUUCCGAAUAAUUGUAUUAUUAUCGGAUAGUUUGUCAAGUCGUGCGUUCGCGACACGGACGCGUGGGUGUUGAAUCGUCCACGCCGAAAUUCGGUCAUUUUUUUUUAUACAAAACACUCCAGAGACUUGAUGCCAGUUCGACAUGUAAGUAUCGGUUUGAUACGACCGUAAAUGUGAUGAAAGAAACGUCCGAGUCAAAAGCGCGGCUCGCCGCUGAACGUCCGACGUCUCGGCGGGCCCAAUCGAUCGGGGCUCGCGGAACCGUGGUUGGAACCCAGCGAGGAAAACCAUGGCCCGAAAAACGAUACGAAGUUAUCAGGAUUCCAUGUCGUGUCACGGAGAUGUCGUGAUCGAAACGACCCUAUGUAAGAUGAGUUGCCUACAGUCGUGCUCCCGACCCAAAUCAUGCACUGCCACUCGAAUUCGGGUCUGGUACGAAACAUCGACAAGUACAACAUUUCGACAAAUUACAAUGUUGACAGUAUACAAAGAUAAGGAUAAAAUUUUCUUAUGCUACUUUGUGGUCAAAUCAAAUCAUUUCGAUCAUUUCGACAACGCGCGUGUACGAUUACUUAUGUACCUCGCAGAGCCUGCCGUAUCAACUAAUCAAUAAGCUACAUUUUUAUAAGGACGAAGUAAUGAAUACAAAAUGAUAAUUGAUUGAUGUCUAAUUUUCCCCGUGGAUAAUAAUGAUUUAUUAGUAGGUGACAUUUUAAAUUCGUUGUCACGCAUGCAUCGAAUAUGCCUGAACGCUGCACCGAGUCUACAACCCUCUGUCGACGAAUAAACUGUAAUACGAGUAUUAACACAAUUGAAUAUUAAUAUUUUUAUAUUGGUCUUUGUAAACAUUAGUUAAAAUGUCUACUGCAUAAA